UACGUAGGGCGCAAGCGUUGUCCGGAAUUAUUGGGCGUAAAGAGCUCGUAGGCGGUCUGUUACGUCCGCUGUGAAAACCCAGGGCUUAACCCUGGGCUUGCAGUGGAUACGGGCAGACUAGAGGCAGGUAGGGGAGAUUGGAAUUCCUGGUGUAGCGGUGGAAUGCGCAGAUAUCAGGAGGAACACCGAUGGCGAAGGCAGAUCUCUGGGCCGUAACUGACGCUGAGGAGCGAAAGCAUGGGGAGCGAACAGG
rnacentral:rRNA from 1 species